ACACAAACCUUCUGUGAUGCACGUCGCGCAUGGCUGAUAAAAGACCGAGAGUCACUGGAUAAAACACAUCAGGAUUCCAUGGGGGACCCUGAAAAGGGAGGGAUCUUGCCUCUCUAUACUGCUGGCAAGCAAAGAGAUGGCCAGUGUGUGCACCAUGGUGUGGUGUCUUUACUGAAGUCAUAUCAAGGCUGUGUUAACCCGGGG